AGGCUAAAGUAUGCAUAUUAG
rnacentral:miRNA from 1 species